rnacentral:rRNA from 1 species
GGGUGAGUAACACGUGAGUAACCUGCCCUUGACUCUGGGAUAACUGCUAGAAAUGGUAGCUAAUACCGGAUACGACCCUCGGCCGCAUGGUCAGGGGGUGGAAAGAAUUUUGGUCAAGGAUGGACUCGCGGCCUAUCAGGUAGUUGGUGAGGUAAUGGCUCACCAAGCCUACGACGGGUAGCCGGCCUGAGAGGGUGACCGGCCACACUGGGACUGAGACACGGCCCAGACUCCUACGGGAGGCAGCAGUGGGGAAUAUUGCACAAUGGGCGAAAGCCUGAUGCAGCAACGCCGCGUGAGGGACGACGGCCUUCGGGUUGUAAACCUCUUUUAGUAGGGAAGAAGCGAAAGUGACGGUACCUGCAGAAAAAGCACCGGCUAACUACGUGCCAGCAGCCGCGGUAAUACGUAGGGUGCAAGCGUUGUCCGGAAUUAUUGGGCGUAAAGAGCUCGUAGGCGGUUUGUCGCGUCUGCUGUGAAAUCCGGAGGCUCAACCUCCGGCCUGCAGUGGGUACGGGCAGACUAGAGUGCGGUAGGGGAGAUUG